GAUGAACGCUGGCGGCGUGCCUAAUACAUGCAAGUCGAGCGAACAGACGAGGAGCUUGCUCCUCUGACGUUAGCGGCGGACGGGUGAGUAACACGUGGAUAACCUACCUAUAAGACUGGGAUAACUUCGGGAAACCGGAGCUAAUACCGGAUAAUAUAUUGAACCGCAUGGUUCAAUAGUGAAAGACGGUUUUGCUGUCACUUAUAGAUGGAUCCGCGCCGCAUUAGCUAGUUGGUAAGGUAACGGCUUACCAAGGCAACGAUGCGUAGCCGACCUGAGAGGUGGAACGGCAACGGUGGGAGGGAGAGACGGACCGGACUGCUACGGGAGGAAGAGGGGGGGAAUAUGAAAAAAUGGGAAGAAGAAUGAGGCAGGAAUGCCGCGUGCGGGGUAACGGACUUCGGGGGGUAAACAGCUUUCGACGGUGACGAAGCGGGAGUGAAGGUAAUGGAUAAAGAAGCACCGGCUAAGUACGUG
rnacentral:rRNA from 1 species